rnacentral:tRNA from 1 species
AGGGAAGUAGUUAAAUAUAACAUUUAAAUUGCAAUUAAAAAUUGCUAAUCAAUAGCCUUCCUUA